rnacentral:SRP_RNA from 1 species
CAUCCGGUCCUGCGCAGUGCGACACUGUGAACCGUGUCAGGUGGGGAACCAAGCAGCACUAAGCAGACCGUCCAUGUGCCGCAGACCAGCCGGGUGGUG